ACUUGAGGCCGUUCCCUCUAGUCCUGUCGCUAGCUGCCUGUGAGAAGAAGACAACCCCCAGCUCCCCACCCCUUCCCUUCAGGUAGAUGUAAAAAUUGCCCC